rnacentral:rRNA from 1 species
CACCAGGUUGAUUCUGCCUGACGUAGACGCUAUUCCCUAAGAUUAACCCAUGCAUGUUUUUGACAUUUGAAAAAUGGACUGCUCAGUAAUACUCACUUUAUUUUAUGUAAAUUUUUAAUUAACUACGUUAAAGUGUAGAUAAGAUGUUUACAGUAAGAGUGAGACCUAUCAGCUAGUUGUUAAGGUAAUGGCUUAACAAGGCUGUGACGGGUAACGGUAUUACUUUGUAAUAUUCCGGAGAAGGAGCCUGAGAGACGGCUACUAAGUCUAAGGAUUGCAGCAGGGGCGAAACUUGACCUAUGGAUUUUAUCUGAGGCAGUUAUGGGAAGUAAUAUUAUAUUGUUUCAUAUUUUAAAAGUAUAUGAGGUGAUUAAUUGGAGGGCAAAUCAAGUGCCAGCAGCCGCGGUAAUACUUGUUCCAAGAGUGUGUAUGAUGAUUGAUGCAGUUAAAAAGUCCGUAGUUUAUUUUUUUAAGAAGCAAUAUGAGGUGUACUGUAUAGUUGGGAGAAAGUUGAAAUGUGACGACCCUGACUGGACGAACAGAAGCGAAAGCU